rnacentral:rRNA from 1 species
GUAGUCAACAUGCCCAAAGGACGUGGAAUAACCUCGGGAAACUGAGGAUAAACCGCGAUAAGGCCAAGGUUUCUGGAAUGAGCCAUGGCCGAAAUCUAUAUGGCCUUUGGAUUGGACUGCGGCCGAUCAGGCUGUUGGUGAGGUAAUGGCCCACCAAACCUGUAACCGGUACGGGCUUUGAGAGAAGGAGCCCGGAGAUGGGCACUGAGACAAGGGCCCAGGCCCUAUGGGGCGCAGCAGGCGCGAAACCUCUGCAAUAGGCGAAAGCUUGACAGGGUUACUCUGAGUGAUGCCCGCUAAGGGUAUCUUUUGGCACCUCUAAGAAUGGUGCAGAAUAAGGGGUAGGGCAAGUCUGGUGCCAG